CAAGGAACCUUAGUAAAAGAACCAAAUUUACUUCAAUUUAAGGCAAAUUCCACACAGAGACUGUCUCAGACACAGGCACAGGACCAGACAGCAUAAAAACACCACCAUCAUGCAUGACAGGAAGGGAGUGGUGUCAGGAGCAGACAGGGUGGGGCCUGGUCUCCACCCAUGCACAGGACGUUCAGUGGGCUGAGGAGCCCCAUGCGGCAGAGGGACUGGCAUGCAUGGCCUGCCCCACGGGGUGAAGGCUGGGCAGCUGGGUGGGCCCAGGGGUGAAAUCACCUUUCCCAUGGCAGGAGCAGGAGCUUCUGCUCAGAUGACAGCCCAAGGCUAAAGGACUAAGCCUCCGCCCACUUGGAUGCUCUGAGGAAACGUCAUCACGUCUGUUGUUUCAUUCACUCGAACACUUAGUGAGCACCUGGUCCACGCCAGGAUGUGGCCCUGAACCGUCCUCAGUCUGAGGCCCGGCCCCAGGCACUUAGCAGGUGAGAGGCAGGACAGCACAGUCUGCAGAGGUACCAGUCCUGUCUCUACCUGCUACUGGCUGUGUGAUCGUGGGCCUAAGCACCUCUUCUUCAGUGAGGAUGACCAGUCUGGGAGACCUGGCUGCCAGCUGGGGCCAACUGCCACCGCCCGGAAAGCCCUC